rnacentral:rRNA from 1 species
AGUGAACGCUGGCGGUAGGCCUAACACAUGCAAGUCGAACGGCAGCACAGUAAGAGCUUGCUCUUACGGGUGGCGAGUGGCGGACGGGUGAGGAAUACAUCGGAAUCUACUUUUUCGUGGGGGAUAACGUAGGGAAACUUACGCUAAUACCGCAUACGACCUACGGGUGAAAGCAGGGGAUCUUCGGACCUUGCGCGAUUGAAUGAGCCGAUGUCGGAUUAGCUAGUUGGCGGGGUAAAGGCCCACCAAGGCGACGAUCCGUAGCUGGUCUGAGAGGAUGAUCAGCCACACUGGAACUGAGACACGGUCCAGACUCCUACGGGAGGCAGCAGUGGGGAAUAUUGGACAAAGGGCGCAAGCCUGAUCCAGCCAUACCGCGUGGGUGAAGAAGGCCUUCGGGUUGUAAAGCCCUUAUGUUGGGAAAGAAAAGCAGCAGGUUAAUACCCCGCUGUUUUGACGGUACCCAAAGAAUAAGCACCGGCUAACUUCGUG